rnacentral:lncRNA from 1 species
GGCUUUCUCUGCAUAACAAGAACCUUGGCCUCCACAACCUCCUUUAUCUUCACUCAAGCAUUUCUACUGACUUCAAUCUUUAGACAAAUCUUAACUCUUUCAACCAAUUGCCAGUCAGAAAAUCUUUGAAUCCAUCUAUAACCUGUAACCAUCCCCCUUGAAGAUAUCCCACCUCUAAUCCUGAACCAAUAUAUGCAUACCUUCUAUGUGUUAAUUUAUGAUUUUAUCUACAUUCAUGUCUCCCUAAGAGGUAUAAAACCAAACUAACCCAAUUGCCUCAGGCACACUUUCUCAGGAC